rnacentral:rRNA from 1 species
AGCGUAGGUGGCUCUAUAAGUCAGAUGUGAAAUCCCCGGGCUCAACCUGGGAACUGCAUCUGAAACUGUAGAGCUAGAGUAUGUGAGAGGAAGGUAGAAUUCCAGGUGUAGCGGUGAAAUGCGUAGAGAUCUGGAGGAAUACCGAUGGCGAAGGCAGCCUUCUGGCAUAAUACUGACACUGAGGCUCGAAGCGUGGGUAGCAAACA